CAGAAGAUAAGCAAAUGAGUGAACGUGUUAUAUGUUUUAAGCUCAGAUAAUAAUUUUUUGGUGCAUAUGAUAUAUCUUUAUGAUUUCCUUCUUUAAUCAACUUUUUCAUGUAACCAACCAGUUCCAAAGAAGUGGGCUUCUACUGUAGAAAAUAGAGCUAUCACCAAUAUAUCAGAAAGUUUCAGUUUGGAGGAAUUGGCAAUAAAUGUGUUCUGUGUAAUGAAUCAUAUUUCCCCGAAAACUUCUAAUCUAAUUUUGGUAUUUGUUUUAUUUUUUUAAGUAUCCCAAUAUACUUGAUUAUUUGAUAUAUUUGGUCCUGAGUGUUCUUGUAGCCGAAGAUUUAUUUUCAUCGCCAACCCUGUGUUUGCUCCUCUCCCUCGUUUAAAGCCACUACUAAUUGUGUUAAAUAGACAAAUGCCAAGAAUUGGAUUUUUCAGAUGAAAUCGCAACUUGAUAUGUGACCCUCUCACAUUUAAAUUUAUGGGAAUCCCAACUUGUCAAACACCUGUAAACACGCAUUGAACAAAGGAUGAACAAUUGAAGUCAAAUGAAAUUCUGUGGGAGAGAUACAAAGAGGGAAAGAGAGAGAAUGAGUGCAUCUG
rnacentral:lncRNA from 1 species